rnacentral:misc_RNA from 1 species
GUUUGUAGACCCAAAGCCGGUGGGGUACCUUUUGGAGCUAGCCGUCUAAGGUGGGACAGAUGAUUAGGGUGAAGUCGUAACAAGGUAGCCGUAGGAGAACCUGCGGCUGGAUCACCUCCUUUCUAAGGAAUAAUACGGAACCGCACACGAGUCAAAGUUUUGUUUAGUUUUGAGAGGUCUACUCUCACUUUUGUUCUUUGAAAACUGAAUAAUAUCUAUAAUUUCUAAUUUUAAUUAAUCAUAAUUAAACCGAGAGAAAACCGCGUAAUUUUAAAGAGUUAAACAAGAUUAGUUCAAAAUAAUCGCAAUACUCAAUUAAUCGCUUUACCGUAGGUAAAAGUUAGGUUAAGUUAGGAAGGGCGCAUGGUGGAUGCCUUGGUACUAGGAGCCGAUGAAGGACGGGACUAACACCGAUAUGCCUCGGGGAGCUGUAAGUAAGCUUUGAUCCGGGGAUUUCCGAAUGGGGCAACCCAAUAGUUUUAACGACUAUUAUCCGCAUCUGAAUUCAUAGGAUGUGUAAGGUAA